rnacentral:rRNA from 1 species
UACGUAGGGUCCGAGCGUUGUCCGGAAUUAUUGGGCGUAAAGAGCUCGUAGGUGGUGUGUCGCGUCGGAUGUGAAAGCCCGGGGCUUAACCCCGGGUCUGCAUUCGGUACGGGCAUGCUGGAGUUCGGUAGGGGAGACUGGAAUUCCUGGUGUAGCGGUGAAAUGCGCAGAUAUCAGGAGGAACACCGGUGGCGAAGGCGGCAUCCUGGACCAACACUGACGCUGAGUGAGCGAAAGCCAGGGGAGCAAACGGG